rnacentral:rRNA from 1 species
GUGGGGAAUCUUCCGCAAUGGACGAAAGUCUGACGGAGCAACGCCGCGUGAGUGAUGAAGGUCUUCGGAUUGUAAAGCUCUGUUAAUCGGGACGAAAGAGCCUAGUGUGAAUAAUGCUAGGAAGUGACGGUACCGGAAUAGAAAGCCACGGCUAACUACGUGCCAGCAGCCGAGGUAAUACGUAGGUGGCAAGCGUUGUCCGGAAUUAUUGGGCGUAAAGCGCGCGCAGGCGGAUCUGCCAGUCUGUCUUAAAAGUUCGGGGCUUAACCCCGUGAUUGGAUGGAAACUACAGAUCUAGAGUAUCGGAGAGGAAAGUGGAAUUCCUAGUGUAGCGGUGAAAUGCGUAGAUAUUAGGAAGAACACCAGUGGCGAAGGCGACUUUCUGGACGAAAACUGACGCUGAGGCGCGAAAGCCAGGGGAGCGAACGGGAUUAGAAACCCUGGUAGUCC